UCCACAGGCGGCGAGACCGAUGCCAUUGUCUACUUGGCCGAUCGAUUUCGAGUAAACAACAACAAGAAGGAGAAGAAUAACAAGAAGGAUACAUUAACCAACGCCACAAAAGAGCCAUGGCUGGUACAAUGUGCGUGGCAAUGUACCAGUACACGGGCGAUAUGAAUCAGCAAGGAUUGAGUUUCGGAGCAGGGGACACACUCCGCGUGUUCCACACCACGGAGGAUGGCUGGUGGGAAGGCGAGAAGGACGGCAUCCGUGGCUGGUUCCCUGCGAGCUACGUGCACAUCUUGGAGAAGCCUGAACCAGGAGACACAGAGGAACCCGAGACGUCCCAUCUUCCCGAAGGCUGGCAGUGCUUUAGCUCUCCCCAGGGACCAAAAUAUUACGUCAACACAAGCACAAACGGUAACCAAAGACGUAAUUACAGCUCAGUUGACAUACAUUUGGAGGGCCUGAUCUCUGGCAGACAAGGCCGUAGCCAUGGAGUCAACAUUGGGGGGACGAAAUCUUCCAGGGGGUCUGGGGGUCCUCCCCCCAGAAAAACAUCUAAAUGUUACAACUAAUUUCCU